GGAAAUAAGCAGUCAACAGGAAUAUUUGAAGCUUAAAGCACGUUGUGAAGUCCUACAAAGGUCCUCAAGGAAUUUACUAGGGGAGGAUCUGGGUCCUUCAAGCAUUAAAGAGCUUGAAUCACUCGAAAAACAGCUCGAGUCAUCGUUGAAACUCGUCAGAUCAAUGCGGGAGCAUCUACUCAGUGAAGCCAAUCAGACCCUAAAACAAAGGUUGAUAGAAGGCUACCAAGUACAUUCGCUCCGGUUGAACCCAAAUCCUGAAGAUAUCAGUUAUGGCCGACAACCAUCUCACCAACCUCAGGUUCACGGCUUCUUCCACCCAUUGUAGUUUGAACC